GGCUGCAAUCGACUUAUUAUCAAUUCUGACAAUAUGGAAAUCCUUGACACGAUGAACAACGGAGGACAUUCUGCAGGAGCGGUGGCGGCAAUCUUUAAGUACUGUUUUGUUAUGGCUUGUGAUUUUCUUCUUACUAGCUUUGAACAUUGUAAUAGGAAAGCGAACAAAGUAGCUCAUAAACUUGCUAGACUAGCAAAAUGUUCAAUGACUAAAGAUUGGAUUGAGGAGCCUAUGAAAUUUUUUGUAUCUUUUGUUACAGACGAUGCAACCAUUAUUUCUAAUAAAUAA
rnacentral:rRNA from 1 species